AGGACGAACGCUGGCGGCGUGCCUCAUACAUGCAAGUGGAGCGACGAACCAGGGCUUGCCCUGGGGCAGAGCCGCGAACGGGUGAGUAACACGUGGGUUACCUGCCUCGAUGACCGGGACAACCCGAGGAAACUCGGGCUAAUACCGGAUGUGCCCGCAAGGGGAAAGGAAGCUUCGGCCUCCGCAUCGAGAUGGGCCCGCGGCCCAUUAGCUUGUUGGUGAGGUAACGGCUCACCAAGGCUUCGAUGGGUAGCUGGUCUGAGAGGACGAUCAGCCACACUGGGACUGAGACACGGCCCAGACUCCUACGGGAGGCAGCAGUGGGGAAUCUUGCGCAAUGCGCGAAAGCGUGACGCAGCAACGCCGCGUGGGGAAGAAGGCUUUCGGGUUGUAAACCCCUUUCAGUUGGGACGAAGCUUCGUCGGUGAAUAGCCGGCCGGAGUGACGGUACCUUCACAAGAAGCACCGGCUAACACGUGCCAGCAGCCGCGGU
rnacentral:rRNA from 1 species